UACGGAGGGUGCGAGCGUUGUCCGGAAUCACUGGGCGUAAAGGGCGCGUAGGUGGCGGUCCAAGUCAACGGUGAAAGCUCGGGGCUCAACCCCGAGUCGGCCGUCGAUACUGGGUUGCUUGAGCACUGUAGAGGCAGAUGGAAUUCCGGGUGUAGCGGUGGAAUGCGUAGAGAUCGGGAGGAACACCUGUGGCGAAGGCGGCCCCCUGGGCCGGCCCUGACACUGAGACGCGAAGGCGUGGGGAGCGAACGGGG
rnacentral:rRNA from 1 species